rnacentral:lncRNA from 1 species
CUUUUUUCAGCAGCUACUGAAUGUACAUAAUCAUAGAAAACUAGUAAAAGUACAUACUCUGCUUUUUUCACAUACAGCAGACCACCAUAAGAUAUCAUUGUCCCAGAAAAUGCAUACUUGAUAAAAGUGCAUUCAAGUUAGGUACCUCAGACUGAAUUCCUAUUACCUAUUUUGCAAGCUUUUAAUCUUAUCUAAUUUCUUUUCUCACCCAACAGAGGUGUCAGAUACCAGCAAGGGGAAGGAAUAAAAUGAAGUACAUGAGGUAAGCCAAAGAAAAUGAGCAGUGAAACUCAGCUGCAAUGUGAUGGCACCGGUCUGAGAUGCUGUUUAUAACAACAGCAUCCAAAGGAAAACUAGAAAGCAGUGGGAUAUUUAAGUUUAAGCCAACAUCUCUUCAGUGGAAAGCAGUACCCACCAAUGCUCUCUGUGUCUGAUACCCCUUCCUCCACAUCUUCCUCUUGUUCCUCUGCAGGUGGUGACUCCUUUGGAAGACUAGUUCUGCUUUCUUCUGCAAAGGAAAAUUGGGAUCAUUGUCUCUUGGUAAUUCAACAAACUGACUUAGAAUGCUGUACCAGAUCCACAUGAGUUCUACCGCCUUGCUUUCUGACAACUCACUCAGGAGUGAAUUCAGGUUUUCUUUGAUUCAGUGACCAGUGCGACAAACUGUGAACUUAGGCAAUUUAAGGGAAAAUGAAAUUUUGCUGUUCUCUUGGCUACGUUCUCAAAAGCCGUAGAUCGCCUCAGAAUGGAGAAAUACGUUCAUUCAGAGCGAGAAAAGAAGGGGACGGGAGAGAUCUGCUUAGAGCCAGGCUGUUGUUGUGGAUAUUCAAAGCAUUUUCCUACGCAAUGGGAGAAAUCAAACCAAACGCUGAUGUCCACCCCGGCGACUAACCCAGCCCUUUGCAGUGAUCACGAGUCUAUUAGAGCCUGCCCCUGCGAAUAAAGGUUAGUUACUGGUUUCCUAUUAAAGGAAAACACGGAGCGAGCGGUAUCACCGCGGCUACUCAUUAACUAGGGCACAGCCAUAAAAACGAGCUGCAGCGGGCAGUAAAACUAACUGCCCCUUCACACCCAG